UUUAUGGAGAGUUUGAUCCUGGCUCAGGAUGAACGCUGGCGGCGUGCCUAAUACAUGCAAGUCGAGCGAACGGACGAGAAGCUUGCUUCUCUGAUGUUAGCGGCGGACGGGUGAGUAACACGUGGAUAACCUACCUAUAAGACUGGGAUAACUUCGGGAAACCGGAGCUAAUACCGGAUAAUAUUUUGAACCGCAUGGUUCAAAAGUGAAAGACGGUCUUGCUGUCACUUAUAGAUGGAUCCGCGCUGCAUUAGCUAGUUGGUAAGGUAACGGCUUACCAAGGCAACGAUGCAUAGCCGACCUGAGAGGGUGAUCGGCCACACUGGAACUGAGACACGGUCCAGACUCCUACGGGAGGCAGCAGUAGGGAAUCUUCCGCAAUGGGCGAAAGCCUGACGGAGCAACGCCGCGUGAGUGAUGAAGGUCUUCGGAUCGUAAAACUCUGUUAUUAGGGAAGAACAUAUGUGUAAGUAACUGUGCACAUCUUGACGGUACCUAAUCAGAAAGCCACGGCUAACUACGUGCCAGCAGCCGCGGUAAUACGUAGGUGGCA
rnacentral:rRNA from 1 species